rnacentral:lncRNA from 1 species
ACAGAAGACGAAGAGCUGGAAUAGAGCUCGCCUCGGCUCUGCUGGCCUUGGCUGCAGCUCUUCCAGAAACCCGGGGCGCCCACAGAAGAAUCUCUUACCUGGUGAGUGGUUAGCCAUCCUUUGCCUGAAAGGAUGUGCAAAAAUGAAGACGACAUCACUAUCUGGCUUCGGCUCCGUCCUCCUGGACAUGCCGAAAGGCCAGUGCUGGGGACCUUCUCCCAAAGCCAGCCCCUUAGCCUGGUCCCCAGCAUCCAACACGAAAUUCUGCAAGGAAAAGAAUCCUCAGGCACAUUUUUCUCGCGGGUGUGGGGGGGUCCGGUCCACUAGGGCUUUUUUUCUCACUAGUGUGGGCAGCGCGGUAGAGACCCUGAUUAAGAAAAGCAGCAAUAAUGAGAUAUUCCGCCCCCAAAUCCAGUGUAUUUUUGUUUCUGGGGUCUAAAAACCUGGUUUUGGUGGCUGAAAGCCCCCCUUAGAAUCGCAUUAAUGGUGAGAGACAUGGCGGCGAUGCAUCAUCCCGCAAGCCCCAUAAAAUGGGGGGGGGGUACCUGAAAAGGGGGGUCUCGAGCCAUCUUUUUCUCCUAGCCAGGUUCUCGGCGGAACGUGGGCGUAAGAUUUAGAGGUUCAUGUUGACCAGCAAUUCUGAAUCCAGAUACUCGGGUUUAGUAUAGACCUAACCUCGGGCAAAAUAUAGUGGGAAAAAAAA